GGCCUUAGUGGCGCACGGGUGCGUAACGCGUGGGAAUCUGCCCCUUGGUUCGGAAUAACAGUUGGAAACGACUGCUAAUACCGGAUGACGACGUAAGUCCAAAGAUUUAUCGCCGAGGGAUGAGCCCGCGUAGGAUUAGGUAGUUGGUGUGGUAAAGGCGCACCAAGCCGACGAUCCUUAGCUGGUCUGAGAGGAUGAUCAGCCACACUGGGACUGAGACACGGCCCAGACUCCUACGGGAGGCAGCAGUGGGGAAUAUUGGACAAUGGGCGAAAGCCUGAUCCAGCAAUGCCGCGUGAGUGAUGAAGGCCUUAGGGUUGUAAAGCUCUUUUACCCGGGAUGAUAAUGACAGUACCGGGAGAAUAAGCUCCGGCUAACUCCGUGCCAGCAGCCGCGGUAAUACGGAGGGAGCUAGCGUUAUUCGGAAUUACUGGGCGUAAAGCGCACGUAGGCGGCUUUGUAAGUAAGAGGUGAAAGCCCAGAGCUCAACUCUGGAAUUGCCUUUUAGACUGCAUCGCUUGAAUCAUGGAGAGGUCAGUGGAAUUCCGAGUGUAGAGGUGAAAUUCGUAGAUAUUCGGAAGA
rnacentral:rRNA from 1 species